CUGGGGGCUUAUUUACCAGCCUUGCCAGUGGCCAGCGAAGCAGGAGAGGAGGGGGAGCUGAGAGCCUCAAGCCACGUCAACUUAAGGAACAGACUCUGGCAGAAGGGCUGGGGAAGAGAUACUGAUGGAAACAGCCAGGGCAGAGCCCGGCUCCAAUCCAUCAAUCUCACAAAUAUGUAUUGAGGGGCACUGCCUCUGUGGCAGGCGCUAGGUGUGAGAGGCACACAGCCUUUACCCUCGGAGAGCUCAGAGUCUAGUGGGGGAGCCAGAAGUAAACACAAUAGUCCUUCCAUUAGAGUGGGAGGCGAGCCAGGUGAGAAGUACAAGAUACUGUGAGAGCUGACAACCUCAUGGGGGUAGGGGAUCAGGAAACCCUCCCUCGGAGAGGAGGACAAUGGCACUCUGCGGCCUGUCGUAACACACAAAGGACCUGCACUGUAACUCGAGACCCUCACCACACCGUACCCACCCGUAUUCCUUUGCUACAGCUGCCAUAACAAACCACCACAAAGUGCGUGGCGUAAACAGCAAAAAUUUGUUUUCUUGUGCUUCUGGAGGCUGGAAGGCUGAGACCAAGGUGUCGGCAGGGUUGGCUCCUCCUGAGGCCUCUUUCCUUGGUUUGCAGAUGAGCGUCUUCUCCCUGUGUCUUCUGUACCUAUGUCUUUGUUCAAAUUUUCCCUUCUUACAAGGGCACCAGUUAUAUUGGACGAUGGCCCUCGCUAAGGACCUCAUUUUACCUCUUUAAAGACCUUUUCUCCCAAUACAGUCACAUUCUGGUUACGGAGGAUUACAACUUCCAUAAAUGAAUUUUGGGAAGGAUAAUUCAGCCCACAACGCCAUCAUUUUCCACAACUACUGUGAGGCCCCUAGUUAGCCACUUUCUCCCCCAAGGCGCACAGCAACCAGGGGCCUUUUGUCCUCUAAAUCUACCGUAUUAAGUGCCUGGUUGACUCAGACUUGGACCCGCUCCUGUCAGAUGAGAGGGAUGAUGAAGCCCUGCGUCUGGCUCUUGAAGCAAAUGCCUCAUCAUGCGUCUUCUCCUCAAAAAGCUGCCUGUUGAUUAGAGUCUUGGAACAGUGUCUUUCCACAGCUUGUCGGCCCUGCUCACUGGCCUCAUGCCCAAGGACAGGCAACAGGUACAUGAAGAGACAGCAGAAGCAAUUUUGUGCCACCCAAGGAUGAUCUCAAUCCUGGAGUCCACCCAUACAGCAAACAGAUGGGCCAUAUGAGGACUGAGAGCUCAUGAGAUUGCUUGGAGCUGAGCAAGUGGGGAUUGCUGCAGGGAGGGCCAGGGCAAGAAAUGCCUACUGUGCCUAGCUGAUAAGUCUAAAAGGACGUAGGCCCAGUGGAGGCCAAAGCUGAGCCAUAUUCGGGUUUAUAGAGCAUUUGUGGAAAUUAGAGCUUAAUAAUAUAUAUUAAGGACUGUUGUGCAACAACCACAAUGAAAUAUUCAUCCCACUCAUAAGAUUCAGAGGAAUAAAAUAAACGUCCCCCAGGGACAACCUGCAAUGUUGGAGAAAUGUUAAUGGCGCCUUCCGAUCUCAGAAAGUACUCUGCAGUCUUAAAAUAGAACAACCUAAAGGUGACAGUGAUCUUCUGAGAAGGGGCAAAAGGAGGGGACACGGCAUAGGGAUUCCGAAUACCUGAUAACAGAGCCCCAGCCGUCCCUGGGAGAAGAGCCAACCACCAAGGUCAGGCCAUGGAUCUCAAAACAGCCCUGAGGAUAGCUGUGCCUCCGAGAUCAGCUAAAAUUAUGUAGUGGAUGCUGUGCUACGCUGACCAGAUGCCACUUUCAGGAUUGAGGGACACAGUCCCCCAGAUGCUGGGGAUGCUCUCAGCUGUUAGCCUCGAGACAUUUCCCUUGGCUGAAGACAGCCUCCUCUCCCAAGGUCUUGACAGCACUCCCUAAUAAACUUCCUGCGUGAUAGAAACAGAGAGGGAGAGAGAGAGAGAGAAAAAGAAAACAGGAAAACAGUACCCUUUCCUGGAUUCUUUACUUCCACCCGCCAGAAAAAUUGUCGAAACAACUAUAUAAAUAUAUGAGUGGGAUUUGGAAGGCGCCCCUUGAAGUUGUGCAGUGUACAACCUGCACAAAGAAGCAGUGGCUCGGUGUCAACCCCAUCUCACUCCUCUGCUUUUGGGGGUCCCCAGCACCAUUCAGCUGGAUUGAUUGACGAGUGUCCACUUGACCUUAACCAGUGCCUGAGCCAGCCUUCACAGGGAGGGAAGCAUGUCAGUUGCCUCAGCCACAUCACACAGUAGAACUUAGAAGUCAUUCCUUGUGUCCACCAGAUCUGGAAGGUGAGAAGCUAGGAGGGAGCUCUGAGGGCUCCCUAGAGACUUUCCCUCCUCAGCUUUGUGGCCUCGAUUUUACUCCUGGCCCUAACACCUUCCCAGAUCGUGCUCAGCUCUUUGGGCAUGAUUCUGUUUCCCCAGCCUCUCUUGGCCCCAAGUCACUCUCUCUCACUUUGGUCUUAAGCUGCUGUAUUUCCCAGAAUGCAUUUUGCCCAUGUCAAAUGUGAAAUAAAGUUCCUGGAAUAUCUGGGAUAUCUGGGAUCAUGCCUGGCAUCUCCUAACACCAACACAAAAGAAGCCCUAUAUGGGGCAAAAUAA
ensembl:lncRNA